AUAGCUGGCAGACCACGUGAGCUCAUGCUUGUAAAAUACUUCAUGUGGGGGCUGGCAGUCCUUCGUGUUACGUUCCAUUGUAAAUAUUCAUGUUUCAUAAGCCCUCUGUUAGACUCAGACUUGUAAAAAUAUUGACACGUAUGUUUCCUCCCCUUGAACACAAUACACUAUUGUGCAUAUGCUCUGUACCUUCACAGCAAAGCCUGGAAAUCAAAGAGGGGUGGGGCCCAGAUGCAUCCUCAUCACUGAUGUCACGUUGCUCCUGACUCCCGUUGCCCUGGGCCCCGGUGGGCACGUCCUCGGCUGGGGCAAAAGCCAUCCCUGUGCCUCCGAAGCCCGCCUGCGUGAGCGUCUGUGUCCCUCCACGGGGCCUCUCCAAGGUGACAUGGUCAGACCCCCACCCUCUUGAUCCUUUCACUUCCCUUAGGGCCCCAGUGACAUCUACGUGUGCGUCCCCGGAAACACUAGGGGCUGUUUGCUGGGAAUCCCUAACCGAGGUGGUGAAGCUCGGGGAACAGAGCAGACCGUACCCUGCUCUAACAGAGCCUGGAUUCCAGCGAUCACGGCACAAGCAACCCCCGGGAAAGGUCAUGAGCACACACAGCGUCUGCAGGCCCGGAGGAGAGUCUCACCAGGACCCUCAUCUGGGGCUCCAGCCUCGGAACUGUGGGAAAUGAAUGCCUAUUGUCUGAGCCCCUGUUGGCGGGUUUGGUCAUGGCUGCCGGAGCCGACCAGCCACUUGCUGAAAACGAGAAGUAAAAGCAAAGGGUCUGAAUGCUCUCGACUCAGGCACUGCAUUCAGAGAGGGUCCUUCAGACCCUCACCCGGAGCCUGCGCCCUCCUUUUCUGCACACGGUGGAGACAUCCGCGCUCAUCUGGUUUCCCGACUCUCAACAAAGACGACACAAUGAUCCCAAAGAGGAGCAAAGCUCUUCGAAGCAGUAACAUUUGCAGGCUGCUUCUGUGAUUGAUACUUAUCAUAAAAAAAGAGUGCGGAGAAGCUGAACACAGCAAAUACAAGGACCCAAGUGCCCUCGGAUGCAGGAUAGUUCAGGGAUGGAGCAAACGACCUCACGCAUUGCUAUGUGCGUCACAUCACAUGGACAGUAUGGUGUCCAAACUUAAGACUGAAGCCAGCAUACUCCGUACAGGGAAUUAGAAAGGCAUCGGAAAGAAGUCUGCCCACAGGUUGAAGGUGUUUGCACUCACUGGGCUCCUACGAUCGUCUGCUCUGACCACUUCAUUUUAUGGAAAGGCCGGGCUCAGCGAGGCCCAGCCACUCACCAUUUGUCACCAGAGACACACCCAGUACUUUCCAGCUCAGUCACUUCCCUGUAGGAGGAGGGGACUCGGAGCACUUGGAAUAUCAGGCGGAAGGGAUAGAGGACUGAGUGGCUUCCCUGGGGCGAUGCCAGGGGGGCACCUUUCAGUUGUCGGGUGGUACUGGGGCAGAAGCCAAGUCUAGACUGUUCUAACAGCAGUGAUUGAAACCCGUUGCAGCGGGGGUGGGGAGCACAUACCACCGUGUGAAAUGGAAACCCCCUUCUGUCUAAAAGAGAAAAUCCAUUUAUAGCUCCUUUCUGACCGGAUUAUGAUAUCACUGCCAACAGAUCUGAGAAAAGUCUUUCCUCUUCCAAAUUCUACAGCACUCUGCUUUUUCCUAACAUCAGAAAUUCCUUGAUUCCACUUCAAAGCACCUAUGGAUGCCAAUUCUCCUUAGCGCUGAGCCUCUGCGCAGAUUUAUGUGACUUGUCUUUGCAGCCCUGUGUCAUUUCUUCCACACAGCCUCUGUGUCUGCUCCCCAGGGGGUGCCGUGUCUGUGCAGAGGCCACAGAAAAGUGCAAGGGGCCCAUGGAGCCUGGGUGCCCCCCGCAGACUGGGCAGGGACCGGGGGCCGCAGGCAGGGACAGAGGGAGGUGAGGGGGAGCGAUGGCCUCGCUGCCCUGCUCAGGUUCAAUGCUGGGGCUCUAACUGGGUGUGUGUUCCUUCUGAACCCAGCUCAGCUUCCAGGACUGGAGAGGAUGAAGGAAGUGAAGGUCUGUUCUCUUCUGAGAAACUGCUGUCUUUACUGACAAGAGGGAAGGGUCACUGUGGGCCAACAGGGUCUUUGUCCUGCAUAACACUGAGCUGGGGGUGCUGGCAGGAGCACACAGUAGGCCUGCAAUUGCCCCUUUAACAUCCAAAGUGGGUGAAGCCCACUCACUGUUGACUUCAAAAUGAUUGAUAACCUCAUGUGCUUGCAUACAGCUUCCUAGGGCUUUUUUGUGUGCAUGAGGUUGGUUGUCUUGGGUGGUGACAAAGUUCAACUAAGCUUCUGUCAGGUUCCUAAACCUUCUGGGACCAUCUGUGCCCUUCUAGUAAAUCCAGUUUUAGCAAGAACCCUGCUAAGUCAGUGUCACCAGAACCCCCACUCUUCAAAUCUAGAUUAGGUCCUCAUUCCCCACCACCCCCCAAGUGAUGUCUGAUCUCCCCAACUUGCCUUCAGCAAGAAUCCUGUUAUGUCGCUUUAGCCGGAAUGAGUAAUUUUCCAUCCAUGGACCCUGCCCUGCUCCUUGGCUAUAAAUUCCCACUCGCCCUUGCUGUAUUUGGAGUUGAGCCCAGCUCUGUCCUGAGGUCUCUUUUCCGCAGUUGCAAUAGUCCUGAAUAAAAUGUGUUUGUACCGCUCUAACUACUCUCCAGUGCUGGGUUUUCUUUGACAGUAAUUAUAGCUACUCUGAGAGAAGCAUCAGAGCUUCUCAUCACAGACAUAGAUGCACGAGCUCCAAGACCACAAAGCAAGGGCCUAGCAAUGGUCUGCACCCACACAGAGUCAGGGCUGGACCACAGCCAGCUGUCUUUCUGACUUGGC